GUAGAGAUCAGCCACAGAACUUUCUGUUCUCUAUUUUUUUUAAAAUUGUUUCUGUUGUUUAAACCUUCAGUAGGUUCCUUCUGACCUACAGAGAAAGCAGAUGGAUUACACCAACCUCACACUUUUUAUCUUUAUAUGGAUUUUUGUUCCAUCCUGAUGAUCAGAAGAGUGUUUGAGGAUUUAAUAGAUCUCUUAAAAAAACCAACCAGAAAAACAUCACAGCUGAGUCUGGACAGGACGUCACUCUGACAUGUCGAGCUCCAAACAACAACAUCAUGGUUGUAGAGUGGAGCAGAGCUGACCUGGGAGAUGAAUAUGUGCUUCUGUACCGGGAUGAUCACCUUCACUCAGACAACCAGCAUCCAUCUUUUAAGAAUCGGGUGGAUCUGCAGGACAGACAGAUGAAGGAUGGAGACGUGUCUUUAAUUCUGAACAAUGUAACGAUUAAUGACACUGGAACAUACAAGUGCCGUGUCUUAAUGGAAGAAACACAAUCAUGGGAGCUCAUCAGCAUCUACCUGAGAGUCGAUCCUCCAGGAAAACAAGGAGGACACACAGAGGAUGGAGGGAAGGAAGAUGGAUCUGUUGCAUUGAUAGUUGGUGUCUGUAUUCCUGCUGUGCUUCUUGUUGGUGCUGUUGUUUUUUUGAUCUACAGAAAACAUAAAAAGAAGCAGAGUCAGAAUUCAUACCAGCCUCCUGUUGAGCUGCAGCCUGUUUGAAAUGUCUCAGAGUUUUUUCCACAUAAACUCAACAGUGUUGUCAGUGAAGAUUCAGGUACAGACAGAUGAUCUGAUCAGCAGCAGACAGACAUCAAACAUGUCCAGAGUUGGUUUGAUGAUAAAUUUCUCUGAUUAUCAUCAAACCUGUUCAGACUGUGUCAGUGUGUCUCUGUGCUGUCUGUCAGAGACUCUGUGAACUACAGUGUUUGUUCAUCUUCACAGUUUUUGUGGGAUUUGUUGAUGGGAAUGUUUUUUUGGCUUCCAGAUGCUCAUCUUAUUGGUAUUUUUCUGUAGCACAUUUUUUUCAUAUUUAUGUCCUGUAUUUUGGAUUUGUAUUUUCAAGCAAAAAAAAUUGUCAAAUGUUGAUAGAGAUAAAAAAAUAAAUAAAAAAUAACUUCAGCCUGUGAACACAAAA